AUCAGGAGUAUAUUUGCGUAAAAAAUCAUUGACCCAUGAUAUAUCUUUAAAAUGAUUUUGACGAUGUUUUGAAUUUAGUUUUCUCAUAUUUUGCCAAACAGUGGAAAUUGGUGUUAAUCUAUUAAAUUUGGAACAAAAUUCCUGCCACCCCUGUUGUCUUACUUGCUUAAUUACUAACUUUUUAACAGCUUGAACUCUUUUAAAAUUUAUGUAAUUAUCGAGAGUUGGAUUUUGUUUAAACCUAAGGUAAGCCGCUUUACUAUCAUUGACAGCUGUCGCACACCUGUUAUUCCACCAAGGUACUGCAAUAUGUUUGUGCCUCUUUGAAGUAUUUGCACCGCUAUUUGAUAAGUUCCUACGUGGAGCGGAACGUUCCACAGCUGUCAAAAUAAUUUUACAGAACCUAUUGUAAUUGUUUAAGGGUUCAUUGACAUCAUACUCGAAAUCCAAAAGUAAUCGAUUAACAGUUUCAGAAUAAAGAUCCCAAUUAACGAGACGUAGGUUUAUACGAUUUAACAACAGUUUAUUAACUUCAUCUAUAGGAGCAUGUUGUUCACCUGACGGAGUUGAUGAAGAGUUCUUUGUGUUUAUUUUAGUAAAAGUCGGCAGAUGCUGUAACGCUCAGAAUUCUUACAGAAUUUAGCUAAAUGUCCAUACCUCAAGCACCGGUAGCAUUGUUUAACUGGUGGUAUAUAUGGAGUGACAUUGUGGCGCCAACCUCCAAUACCAGAUAUUCAGGUAAUACAGAUGCAGCAAAAGUAAUUGUCACGGUUAGAGUUGGCUGUAACACAUAUCCAUGAGUCAAGGUAUUUU